ACUAAAAGGGUAUGUACGACAAGACUGAGUGUAAUAUAAUUAUGCUCAAUACUACGCUCUCAUAAUAGCGGGGCGAUAAAUCGCUAGUCACCUACAAGUCGGAACCACCUAUGAUGGUCUGUACGACAAGACUGUGCACCUAAAUUGGAUCCAAUGUGAGCAUAUGGUGCGGGAGGUGACAUUAUAAACAGGCCUGUGUCAUAUCUCU
rnacentral:lncRNA from 1 species